rnacentral:rRNA from 1 species
AUUGAACGCUGGCGGCAGGCCUAACACAUGCAAGUCGAGCGAGCGGAGGACGGGUGAGUAAUGUCUUGGAAACUGCCUGAUGGAGGGGGAUAACUACUGGAAAAGGUAGCUAAUACCGCAUACCAUCAGAUGUGCCCAGAUGGGAUUAGCUAGUAGGUGGGGUAAUGGCUCACCUAGGCGACGAUCCCUAGCUGGUCUGAGAGGAUGACCAGCCACACUGGAACUGAGACACGGUCCAGACUCCUACGGGAGGCAGCAGUGGGGAAUAUUGGACAAUGGGCGCAAGCCUGAUGCAGCCAUGCUGCGUGUGUGAAGAAGGCCUUCGGGUGGUAAAGCACUUUCAGCGAGGAGGCGGUACUCGAAGAAGAAGCACCGGCUAACUCCGUGCCAGCAGCCGCGGUAAUAC